UACACUUUUGAUGCAUCGUCAUCUUAGGAGUACAUAGUGAGAGCUCUCGAUUGGGCUGCAUUGGUUCGGUUCAAUCUCCAACACUUAAGUUCUCAUCAUACAGUAGUUGAGUAAUUUUUUGUCAUGUAAUAAUAUAGACAAACAAUCAAAAGUGUAGCAAAACACAAACGAUGUCAUCUAUUAAAAUAUGAAUAAAAUAUGAAGAGAGCAGCAAGAAAAUAUAUAUUAGUAUCCGCAUAUAUCAUAGGCCAUACAACACAUAACUUCCUCCUCUCUUAAAACUAACUUUGAUUAUGAGAAAGCAGAUAUAUGAAUAAAGAAGAUCAAGUAAUCAUGGACGUGGAAGCUAGGUCGAUCAGUACAUAUGAAAUGGAGGCACCAGGAAGUGAGGCCAGUGCCUCUACUACUACUGAAGUUGUUGUUCAGUGCCACCGUAAGAGAGCAUCGUAUAAGCACAAAGCAUUAGGCUGUUUGGUUAGGCCAUUUGGCCCGGUAUGGUGUUACAGCAUAACCCAAGU
rnacentral:lncRNA from 1 species